GACGAACGCUGGCGGCGUGCCUAAUACAUGCAAGUCGAACGAGAGCAACCGGUGCUUGCACUGGUCAAUCUAGUGGCGAACGGGUGAGUAACACGUGGGUAACCUGCCCAUCAGAGGGGGAUAACAUCCGGAAACGGAUGCUAAAACCGCAUAGGUCUUCGAACCGCAUGGUUUGAAGGGGAAAAGAGGCGCAAGCUUCUGCUGAUGGAUGGACCCGCGGUGCAUUAGCUAGUUGGUGAGGUAACGGCUCACCAAGGCCGUGAUGCAUAGCCGACCUGAGGGGGUGAUCGGCCACAUUGGGACUGAGACACGGCCCAAACUCCUACGGGAGGCAGCAGUAGGGAAUCUUCCGCAAUGGACGCAAGUCUGACGGAGCAACGCCGCGUGAGUGAAGAAGGUUUUCGGAUCGUAAAACUCUGUUGUUAGAGAAGAACAAGUGCUAGAGUAACUGUUAGCGCCUUGACGGUAUCUAACCAGAAAGCCACGGCUAACUACGUG
rnacentral:rRNA from 1 species